rnacentral:snoRNA from 1 species
UCAGAUACCGUUGUAGUCUAUUGAGAAAUCAUUGUGCUCACAUCGAUAUUAUCUUCGAGCAACAAAAUCAUAAUAUCAUCAUUAAA